rnacentral:misc_RNA from 1 species
GAUGAAGAACGCAGCAAAAUGCGAUAAGUAAUGUGAAUUGCAGAAUUCAGUGAAUCAUCGAAUCUUUGAACGCACAUUGCGCCCGCCAGUAUUCUGGCGGGCAUGCCUGUUCGAGCGUCAUUUCAACCCUCAAGCACAGCUUGGUGUUGGGACUCGCGUUAAUUCGCGUUCCUCAAAUCGAUUGGCGGUCACGUCGAGCUUCCAUAGCGUAGUAGUAAAACCCUCGUUACUGGUAAUCGUCGCGGCCACGCCGUUAAACCCCAACUUCUGAAUGUUGACCUCGGAUCAGGUAGGAAUACCCGCUGAACUUAAGCAUAUCAAUAAGCGGAGGA